rnacentral:rRNA from 1 species
AUUGAACGCUGGCGGCAUGCUUUACACAUGCAAGUCGAACGGCAGCGCGGGGGCAACCCUGGCGGCGAGUGGCGAACGGGUGAGUAAUGCAUCGGAACGUAUCCUGUAAUGGGGGAUAACGUAGCGAAAGUUACGCUAAUACCGCAUACGCUCGAGAGAGGAAAGUGGGGGAUCGCAAGACCUCACGUUAUAGGAGCGGCCGAUGUCCGAUUAGCUAGUUGGUGGGGUAAAGGCCUACCUAGGCGACGAUCGGUAGCUGGUCUGAGAGGAUGAUCAGCCACACUGGGACUGAGACACGGCCCAGACUCCUACGGGAGGCAGCAGUGGAGAAUUUUGGACAAUGGGCGAAAGCCUGAUCCAGCCAUGCCGCGUGCGGGAAGAAGGCCUUCGGGUUGUAAACCGCUUUAGUCCGGGAAAAAGGGGUGCGAGGAUAAUACCCUUGUGCUUUGAUGGUACUGGAAGAAUAAGCACCGGCUAUCUACGUGCCAGCAGCCGCGGUAAUACGUAGGGUGCGAGCGUUAAUCGGAAUUACUGGGCGUAAAGCGUGCGCAGGCGGUCUUGUAAGACAGUCGUGAAAGCCCCGGGCUUAACCUGGGAACUGCGAUUGUGACUGCAAGGCUAGAGUGUGUCAGAGGGGGGUGGAAUUCCACGUGUAGCAGUGAAAUGCGUAGAGAUGUGGAGGAACACCGAUGGCGAAGGCAGCCCCCUGGGAUAACACUGACGCUCAUGCACGAAAGCGUGGGGAGC